UACGAAGGGGGCUAGCGUUGCUCGGAAUUACUGGGCGUAAAGCGCACGUAGGCGGCUCUUUAAGUCAGGGGUGAAAUCCUGGAGCUCAACUCCAGAACUGCCUUUGAUACUGAGGACCUUGAGUUCGGGAGAGGUGAGUGGAACUGCGAGUGUAGAGGUGAAAUUCGUAGAUAUUCGCAAGAACACCAGUGGCGAAGGCGGCUUACUGGUCCGGUUCUGACGCUGAGGCGCGAAAGCGUGGGGAGCAAACAGG
rnacentral:rRNA from 1 species